rnacentral:rRNA from 1 species
UGUGUUUGAUCCUGGCUCAGGAUGAACGCUGGCGGCGUGCCUAAUACAUGCAAGUCGAGCGAACAGACGAGGAGCUUGCUCCUCUGACGUUAGCGGCGGACGGGUGAGUAACACGUGGAUAACCUACCUAUAAGACUGGGAUAACUUCGGGAAACCGGAGCUAAUACCGGAUAAUAUAUUGAACCGCAUGGUUCAAUAAUGAAAGACGGUUUUGCUGUCACUUAUAGAUGGAUCCGCGCCGCAUUAGCUAGUUGGUAAGGUAACGGCUUACCAAGGCAACGAUGCGUAGCCGACCUGAGAGGGUGAUCGGCCACACUGGAACUGAGACACGGUCCAGACUCCUACGGGAGGCAGCAGUAGGGAAUCUUCCGCAAUGGGCGAAAGCCUGACGGAGCAACGCCGCGUGAGUGAUGAAGGUCUUCGGAUCGUAAAACUCUGUUAUUAGGGAAGAACAAACGUGUAAGUAACUGUGCACGUCUUGACGGUACCUAAUCAGAAAGCCACGGCUAACUACGUGCCAGCAGCCGCGGUAAUACGUAGGUGGCAAGCGUUAUCCGGAAUUAUUGGGCGUAAAGCGCGCGUAGGCGGUUUUUUAAGUCUGAUGUGAAAGCCCACGGCUCAACCGUGGAGGGUCAUUGGAAACUGGAAAACUUGAGUGCAGAAGAGGAAAGUGGAAUUCCAUGUGUAGCGGUGAAAUGCGCAGAGAUAUGGAGGAACACCAGUGGCGAAGGCGACUUUCUGGUCUGUAACUGACGCUGAUGUGCGAAAGCGUGGGGAUCAAACAGGAUUAGAUACCCUGGUAGUCCACGCCGUAAACGAUGAGUGCUAAGUGUUAGGGGGUUUCCGCCCCUUAGUGCUGCAGCUAACGCAUUAAGCACUCCGCCUGGGGAGUACGACCGCAAGGUUGAAACUCAAAGGAAUUGACGGGGACCCGCACAAGCGGUGGAGCAUGUGGUUUAAUUCGAAGCUCAAACACAA